rnacentral:rRNA from 1 species
CCCUACUGCUAUCGGGGCGGGACUAAGACAUGCAAGUCGUGCGUCUCUAAGCCAUGUUAGAGACGCGGCGUACGGCUCAGUAACACGUGGCUAACCUACCCUUAGGACGGAGACAACCCCGGGAAACUGGGGCUAAUACCUGAUAGGUGAGGAGGCCUGGAAUGGUUCUUCGCUGAAAAGGCGUUGGAACCAUGCUUUUCAACGUCGCCUAAGGAUGGGGCCGCGUCCGAUCAGGUUGUUGGUGGGGUAACGGCUCACCAAGCCUAUAACCGGUACGGGCCGUGAGAGCGGGAGCCCGGAGAUGGGCACUGAGAUAAGGGCCCAGGCCCUACGGGGCGCAGCAGUCGCGAAAACUCCGCAAUGCGCGAAAGCGUGACGGGGCUACCCCGAGUGCCGUCCGCUGAGGAUGGCUUUUCCCCGGUGUAAUGAGCCGGGGGAAUAAGGAGAGGGCAAGACUGGUGUCAGCCGCCGCGGUAAUACCAGCUCUCCGAGUAGUAGGGACGAUUAUUGGGCUUAAAGCGUCCGUAGCCGGCUUAGCAAGUCUCCUGUUAAAUUCAGCGACCUAAUCGUUGAGCCGCGGGAGAUACUACUAGGCUAGGAGGCGGGAGAGGCCGACGGUAUUCCCGGGGUAGGGGUGAAAUCCUAUAAUCCCGGGAGGACCACCAGUGGCGAAGGCUGUCGGCUAGAACGCGCUCGACGGUGAGGGACGAAAGCUGGGGGAGCGAACCGGAUUAGAUACCCGGGUAGUCCCAGCUGUAAACGAUGCGGGCUAGGUGUUGAGGUGGCUACGAGCCACUUCAGUGCCGCAGGGAAGCCAUUAAGCCCGCCGCCUGGGGAGUACGGCCGCAAGGCUGAAACUUAAAGGAAUUGGCGGGGGAGCACCACAAGGCGUGAAGCUUGCGGUUC